GAUGAACGCUGGCGGCGUGCCUAACACAUGCAAGUCGAGCGAUUCUCUUCGGAGAAGAGCGGCGGACGGGUGAGUAACGCGUGGGUAACCUGCCCUGUACACACGGAUAACAUACCGAAAGGUAUGCUAAUACGAGAUAAUAUACUUUUAUCGCAUGGUAGAAGUAUACAAAGCUCCGGCGGUACAGGAUGGACCCGCGUCUGAUUAGCUAGUUGGUAAGGUAACGGCUUACCAAGGCGACGAUCAGUAGCCGACCUGGGAGGGUGAUCGGCCACAUUGGAACUGAGACACGGUCCAAACUCCUACGGGAGGCAGCAGUGGGGAAUAUUGCACAAUGGGCGGAAAGCCUGAUGCAGCAACGCCGCGUGAGCGAUGAAGGCC
rnacentral:rRNA from 1 species